GAAGCUUGCUUCCUAUGGAAUCGAGUGGCAAACGGGUGAGUAACGCGUAAACAACCUGCCCUUCGGAUGGGGAUAACAGCCGGAAACGGCUGCUAAUACCGAAUACGAUCUUUUCGUCGCAUGACGAAAAGAAGAAAGGAUGGCCUCUAUACAAAGCUAUCGCCGAAGGAGGGGUUUGCGUCUGAUUAGCUGGUUGGAGGGGUAACGGCCCAACAAGGCGAUGAUCAGUAGCCGGUCUGAGAGGAUGAACGGCCACAUUGGGACUGAGACACGGCCCAGACUCCUACGGGAGGCAGCAGUGGGGAAUCUUCCGCAAUGGACGAAGGUCUGACGGAGCAACGCCGCGUGAGUGAAGAAGGUCUUCGGAUUGUAAAGCUCUGUUAUACGGGACGAAAAAGACGGAUGCCAACAGUAUCCGUCCGUGACGGUACCGUAAGAGAAAGCCACGGCUAACUACGUGCCAGCAGCCGCGGUAAUACGUAGGUGGCAAGCGUUGUCCGGAAUUAUUGGGCGUAAAGGGCGCGCAGGCGGUUCGGUAAGUCUGUCUUAAAAGUGCGGGGCUUAACCCCGUGAGGGGGCGGAAACUGUCGAACUUGAGUGUCGGAGGGGAAAGCGGAAUUCCUAGUGUAGCGGUGAAAUGCGUAG
rnacentral:rRNA from 1 species